rnacentral:rRNA from 1 species
CCUACGGGUGGCAGCAGUGAGGAAUAUUGGUCAAUGGGCGGAAGCCUGAACCAGCCAAGUAGCGUGCAGGAUGACGGCCCUACGGGUUGUAAACUGCUUUUAUACGGGACUAACGCGCCUUACGUGUAGGGCUUUGCUUGUACCGUCUGAAUACGGACAGGCUAAUUCCGUGCCAGCAGCCGCGGUAAUACGGAAGGUACGGGGGUUAUCCGGAUUUAUUGGGUUUAAAGGGAGCGGAGGCCGGAUGUCCAGCGUGCUGUGAAAUGUCCGGGCUCAACCCGGGCCUUGCAGCGCGAACUGGCGUGCUUGAGUGCGCGGAAGGCAGGCGGAAUUCGUCGUGUAGCGGUGAAAUGCGUAGAUAUGACGAAGAACCCCGGUUGCGAAGGCAGCUUGCUGCAGCGGAACUGACGCUGAUGCUCGAAAGUGCGGGGAUCGAACAGGAUUAGAUACCCGAGUAGUC